rnacentral:lncRNA from 1 species
ACGGAUCACAAUUUACCUGCACCACAAAAACAAUGAGAUGCGUGAGUAUUAUCACAAAUACUCAGUGAGAGCGAUCCUCCCAUCUACGAGCUAUACACACAAGCUAUGAGAUAACACACACAUAUAUAACAUAAACAAACCAUUCAGCAAGCUAAACAUCCAAUACACUUCCAAUUCACCUACAAAUCAUCACAAACAAGUCACUCAAUCCCAAUCGCUUAGAUAAGCUCAUGGUCACGCACUCACCUUAACAAGGUGAUUUGAAUAACAAAAACAACCAGGAAAGACUCUCCUCGCGACUGCAACAGCCAAAUAACGCCCUACAAUAAACCACACAAACAAAAAUCUCUAAGAACCAAAAGGAUAGAAACAUCAGAAAACCUACAGCCGCAGAAACGAAGCCCUAAAACAUAAACCAUUAACUUCUUAAUCCCUACGGUGAAAAGCAAGAUCCAGACGUCACAAAGCUGCCCACAAAAUUUGGUGCCGAUCAGAGAAACGAUGAAAUCACGAUCGCACUUACAAACUCCGCUGAUCCCAAUUCGCAACAGAGAAGAAGCGUCUCACCAAACUGCAUAUAACUAACUGAGUAUUAUUCUGUUAUAAAAACAAAGGAAGUAGAACUGAAUUCUACAAAACCACUCUGUUAUACUAACAGACGUGCGGAACAAAUAAGAGCUGUAAGACGUACAGAGAACAAGAACUUUGAUUGAAUGAUACUUUUCUCUUAUUUCUCUGAUUCUCUAGUUCACUAUUGUUCACUUUUCUUAGAAUGAGAUUACAUAACUUAUAUAGAAACUAGAAAUGUAACUUACUCCCAUUACCCCAUGGACUCCUUAUUGUCCUACAUUAAACAUAAUUUGAAACCCCCAAAUUAAUACUAAAACCAAAACUCACAAAUACUUAAACUCUCACAUUUAUUCUCUUUGACCAAGCAUUGAAUCACAUUUCAACACUCUCCCUUGAUUCAAACUUGCAUACUCCAAGCUUGCUCCUGAAGUACUCGAACUUGUUCUUUGACAACGCCUUUGUCAGAACAUCUGCACUAUACUCGUUUGUGCUACAAUACUCCAAAGUAACUGAAUCUUCACUGACCAAGUCUCUUAUGAAGUGUACCUUGAUAGAUAUAUGCUUUGUUCUUCCAUGAUACGCCGGAUUCUUGCUCAUUGCUAUGCUUGCCUUGUUGUCACAAUAAAUUGUUGUAGGCUUCUUCUGCCCUGGCUUGACAUCUUCAAGAAUUCUUCUUAACCAAACAGCUUGACACGCUGCUGUUGUAGCUGCUGUAUACUCUACUUCUGACGACGACAAAGCUGUAACAUGCUGCUUCUUAGAACUCCAACACACCGCUCCAGAACCCAGAUUGAAAACAUGACCUGACGUGCUUUUUCUGUCUUGCACACAGCCUGCCCAAUCACUGUUUGUAAACCCAACCAACUCAAACUCUCCAACCCUGUUGUACCACAUACCAUAGUCCGAUGUACCUGCAACAUACCUCAACAACCUCUUAGCUGCUCCAUAAUGCUGCUUCGUUGGACUGUGCAUAAACCUUGAAAUUGCACUCACAGCAAACGAAAUAUCUGGUCUUGUAUGAGUUAAAUAAAUAAGACCACCAACCAAACUUCUGAAUCUUGUUGCAUCCGCUUUUUCUGUUCCAUCUUCCAACUGCAACUUCUCAUUCACAUUCAUAAGUAUGCAAUUCGUCAUGUUGAACCUCUUCAACAAAUCUUUUACAUACUUAUGCUGAGACACAAAUAUCCCAUCUUCCACUUGCUUAAUCUCUAAGCCCAGAAAAUAAUGCAGCAAACCUAAGUCUGACAUUUCAAACUUCUUCAUCAUACUCUCCUUGAAAUCAGCAACAAGUGCACCACUCGAACCCAUGUAAAUAAUAUCAUCUACAUGUAAACACACAAUAAGGAUAUCACCUUCACUUUGCUUCUUUAUGUAGAGAGUGUGCUCACUUUUGCUCCUUUCAAACCCAGUUUCUGCAAAAAAUGAAUCAAUCUUGUUGUACCAAGCUCUCGGAGCUUGCUUCAGCCCAUACAAUGCCUUGUGUAACUUGUACACGCACCCUUCUUGGCCUUCAACCACAAAACCUUCAGGCUGAUCAACAUAAACCUCUUCAAGUAGCUCACCAUUUAAGAAAGCUGACUUAACAUCAAAAUGAUAUAUUGGCCAAUUCAUACUUGCACCAAACUGAAGUAAAACUCUCACUGUAUCAAACCUUGCAACAGAAGAAAAAGUUUCUUCAUAAUCCACUCCGUACUCUUGUGCAUAGCCUUUGACCACCAGUCUUGCUUUAUACUUCUGAACACUACCAUCUACAUGAUACUUUGUUCGAAAUACCCACUUCACACCAAUUGCGUGUUUACCUUCAGGAAGCUCGACUAACUCCCAACUCUUACUCUUCUCUAUGGACUCUAUCUCUUGAUCCAUUGCUUUCUGCCACUCUGAUUCCUCUACAGCCUCGUUGAACGAUCCUGGCUCAGAAAUGAACGACGCUUGCUGAACUUCAUAAACCUCUCUUAGAGAUCUAAAUUUUCGAGGAGGACUUUCUUCUUCACUGCUUGUGUCACCGCUUCUGCUGUUGUGUCCACUGCUAUUAGGCGAAUUAAGGACCGAAUUUGUGGGUGUAUGACCUUCAGAACCAACUGGACUCUGACUCUCUCCCUUCUACAGAGCUGUCUGGCUGAACUUCAACAAGCUCACCGUUAUCACCCUCACACCAACUCCAAACUGCAUUCUCAUCGAAUGUGACGUUCCUGCUUUCAACAAUCUUCCCACUCACAGGAUUAUACAAUCUAUAACCUUUGGAUUGUGAACAAUAACCAAGAAAUAUGCAUUUCUCAGAUUUGUCAUCCAACUUUCUCCUGAGAUGAAUAUCAAUAAGAGAAUAUGCAACACUGUCAAAAAUUCUCAAGUGACUUACUGCAGGUUUUCUGCCACACCAUGCUUCAUAUGGAGUUUUGUCUGCGACUGCUUUUGUUGGUGAAAUGUUCAGCAGAUACACUGCUGUGCUCACACUUUCAGCCCAAAACAGAUUUGGCAAAUUCUUCUGUUUCAACAUACUUCUCGUCAUCUCUACAACAGUCCUGUUUUUCCUCUCUGCUACACCAUUCUGCUCCGGUGUAUAAGCUGUAGUAAGCUCAUGAUGAAUACCUUCAUCUUCACAAAAUUGGUUGAACUCAGUAGUUGUGAACUCUCCACCUCUGUCAGUUCGCAACACCUUGACUAACAAUCCACUUUAUUUCUCCACUAGUGCCUUAAACUUCUUGAACAUCUCAAAUGCUUCACCUUUAGACACCAAAAAAUAAACCCAGCUCAUCCUGCUGUAGUCAUCUGUCAACAUCAGGAAAUAUUUACUUCCUCCAAGAGAUGUAGUCUGCAUAGGACCGCACAAAUCAGCAAGAACAAUCUCAAGACAUUGAGUUGCUCUCCUUGCCUGACCAACAGGAAACGACCUCCGCGUUUGUUUCCCAUAUAUGCAUCCUUCGCACAUCCCAAAAGCAUGAAUAUGUGGUAACCCAACCACCAUAUUCUUCUGAUUGAGAAUCUUCAUCCCAUUCUCGUGUAGAUGCCCAUACCGUAAAUGCCACAACCUUGACAUCUCUGAAACUUUCGCAACCAAAGCACUUUUUUCAAUAGACGACAUCUGUAACGGGUACAGAUUGUUUGCAGUCUUCUUCACCACUGCUACUGUGAAAUCAGAUUUUUUAUCCUUGAUAACACACACAUCCCCAUCAAAGAAAACAGAACAAUUGUUUUCCACCAUCUGUCCAACACUCAACAGAUUCUGCGCUAGAUCAGGAAUGUAAUACACAUCAUAGAUGAAUUUGAGAUUACCAUCGCUAUCUUUGACAGAAACGAUUCCUCUUCCUUCAACUUGAACUUCUUUGUCAUCCCCAAGCUUGACUUUCAGCUUGUACGACUCAUCUAUCUCCUUAAACAAUGACUUGAUGCCUGUCAUAUGAUUAGAACAACCGCUGUCCAAAUACCACAUUGUUUCAGACACAUUUAGACUCUUGUAUGCCAUGAAAAGUCUCGGCUGCACAUCUUCUUAUGCAAAGCUCGCUUUCUUUUCUUCAUUUUGCUUCUUACAGCAAUCAUCUUGCAUAUGACCCAACUUCUUGCAAUAAUAACACCCAAUAUUGCUCUUGUCUGUACCUUUGCUGUACGACCCACCAGUGUAGUUCUGACCUCUUCCACGGCCAUGGUCUGCGCGACCUCCAGAUCUGCCUCUUCCUCUGCCAGAUCCGCCUGUUACUCUGCCAGAUCCUCUACCAGAACCAUUACUGUGGCCCUGUCCUGAGUACUCUCCCUUCACCUGGAAAGCUUUCUCCUCAGACUUCUCAACCUUCUUACCAAGACGAUCUUCAUGCGACAACAACGAACUCAUCAUCUCAUCAAACGUGUAUUUGCUCAUAUCAUUGGCUUCCAUGAUCGCAUGAACAACAUACUCAAACUUUGGAGCUAAAGUUCUGAGAACUUUACUCACAAUAGUUACGUCUAAAACAGUUUCGCCAUAAGAUCUCAUUUGGCUCACAAUGUUUGACACUCUUGCCAAAUACUCUUGUAUUGACUCUUUCUCCUUCAUCACAAUUGUUUCAAAAUUAUGACGUAGAGUCUGAAGCUUCACAGUGAUUACCUUCUGAUCUCCCUGGUACUCACGCUUCAAAAUUUCCCACGCUUCGUGAGACGUGUUCACGGCUACAAUCCGUGACAGGAUAUCUUCAUCCAAGGCUGACUAAAUGAAGAACAGCGCCUUCGCAUCCUUCUUGCGAUUCUCCCGUAGCUGCUGCUUGGGUUCUGCUGGAUUCACAUCUUCAAAUCCAUUCUCCACCAAAUCCCAAAUCUCUUGAGACCUGAACAUAGUCUUCAUCUUAAGACUCCAAAGAUGAUACUUCUCACCCUUGAACUGCGGAACUGAUAGCUGUUGGUUUCCUCCAUUGGCUGCAAACGCUCACUUUGUCUUUUCCACACAAAGAUCAAAGGGGACUGAAACCUAACGCUCUGAUACCACAAUGUUGUAAAAACAAAGAAAGUAGAACUGAAUUCUACAAAACCACUUUGUUAUACUAACAGACGUGCAGAACAAAUAAGAGCUGUAAGACGUACAGAGAACAAGAACUUUUACUGAAUGAUACUUUUCUCUUAUUUCUCUGAUUCUCUAGUUCACUAUUGUUUACUUUUCUCAGAAUGAGAUUACAUAACUUAUAUAGAAACUAGAAAUGUAACUUACUCCCAUUACCCCAUGGACUCAUUAUUAUCCUACAUUAUACAUAAUUUGAAACCCCCAAACUAAUACUAAAACAAAAACUGACAAAUACUUAAAUUCUCACAUUUAUUCUCUUUGACCAAGCAUUGAAUUACAUUUCAACAUAAUCCGAAUUCACUUCUGUUAAAAGGAGAAUCAACGUACACGCAUUUGGAACAAACUUACCAAAAUUCAUUACAUUUCGAUAAGAUUUGAUACGUCGGAACUCUAUUCUACCAAGACGUGACGAAUCUGCUUCUCUUGCUUUAAACACCAAAGCAAAGCUAACACUCUCCUUCUCACAACUGAACUUCUCCUUCUCCUUUUCUCAACUCAACUCUCAGAAACAACAGCGACAAAACAAAAGAGAGAAGAAGCGUUCUUUAUAAAACUAAGGUUUUUGGUUUAAUUAUGAUUAAACCAGGAUUUACCUAAACCAAUAUUAAUUAAACCUCCUUUAAUUCAAUUAAACAAAUCGACCAGUUUAGGAAAUCCACCAGAAUUAAACCGACUCCACCCUAAUUCUUAUACACACUCAAGUCUCAUAUUAUUUUCCAGAAUACGGGCGUUACAAUUCUCCCCCACUAACAAGGAUUCGUCCUCGAAUCCUUUAACAUUCUCCAUCAGUCGGACUCCGUGCAACCGUCCCAAACGAUCUGCACUCCCACAACUGAAUCCUCUGAGGCUCAUAUCUAAUACAUAUACUCACGUUCCAGACCCUAUUUGCUCAUACUCACCCACUUCCCCCGUCCACAGUUCGCAACCCAUGAAUCAUACCGGCUCGUCCUCAGGCCUCUGUCUUAGACUACGGUAUCAAGGAAGUCAGACGACUAGAGAAAAGGCUCGAGAGGAUGAUCUAGGUCUCAAUGCUCACACAAUUGAUUAAACACAAAAAUCAAUCAGCAUGCAAUCCACAUCAUCAUUUUCCAUCAAAGAAAUUCACACAUCACAUAAAAAAUAACUAAAUUACUCCCGCCCUAUAACCGUAAGUGUUCUGUUACCAAAUUGAAAAUACCCGACCCGUUUUUUUUUAAUUCAUUAAUUAAUAUUCUCAUACCUACUAAUUAACCUAACCGAAUUAACCCAACAAUAAAUCAUCAUGCACAGCGGGAACAUAUUAAACCAACAUCAAUUAAUUAUAAUAUUAAUUAAUCAAUCAUUCAAUAACCACAAUUUACACCAGCAACCUAGCAUGCCUCUAAACCAGGUUCCAACAACAAUUAACAUAUUCAUAAACAUAACAACCGAGACCCUAAAUCAUCCUUCUCUCCUCGCCAUGAUUCCACUUAUCACAAUUUACCUGCACCACAAACACAAUGAGAUGCGUGGGUAUUAUCACAAAUACUCAGUGAGAGCGAUCCUCCCAUCUACGAGCUAUACACACAAGAUAUGAGAUAACACCCACAUAUAUAACAUAAACAAACCAUUCAGCAAGCUAAACAUCCAAUAACACUUCCAAUUCACCUACAAAUCAUCACAAACAAGUCACUAAAUCCCAAUCGCUUAGAUAAGCUCAUGGUCACGCACUCACCUUAACAAGGUGAUUUGAAUAACAAAAACAACCAGGAAAGACUCUCCUCGCGACUGCAACAGCCAAACAGCGCCCUACAAUAAAUCACACAAACAAAAAUCUCUAAGAACCAAAAGGAUAGAAACAGCAGAAAACCUACAGCCGUAGAAACGAAGCCCUAAAACAUAACCCAACCGUUAACUUCUUAAUCCCUACGGUGAAAAGCAAUAUCCAGACGUCACAAAGCUGCCCACAAAAUUUGGUGCCGAUCAGAGAAACGAUGAAAUCACGAUCGCAUUUACAAACUCCGCUGAUCCCAAUUCGUAACAGAGAAGAAACGUCUCACCAAACUGCAUAUAACUCACUGAGAAUUAAUCCGAAUUCACUUAUGUAAAAAGGAGAAUCAACGUACACGCCGUUGGCACAACCCUACCAAAAUUCAUUACCUUUCGAUAAGAUUUGAUACGUCGGAACUCUAUUCUACCAAAACGUGACGAAUCUGCUUCUCCUGCUUUAAACACUAAAGCAAAGCUAACACUCUUCUUCUCACAAGUGAACUUCUCCUUCUCCUUUUCUCAACUCAACUCUCAGAAACAACAGCGACAAAACAAAAGAGAGAAGAAGCGUUAUUUAUAAAACUAGGGUUUUGGUUUAAUUAUGAUUAAAUCAGGAUUUACCUAAACCGAUAUUAAUUAAAUUUUCUUUGAUUCAAUUAAACAAAUCGACCAGUUUAGGAAAUCCAACGGAAUUAAACCGACUCCACCCUAAUUCUUAUACACACUCAAGUCUCAUAUUAUUUUUAAGAACACGUGCGUUACAAUUCUCCCCCACUAACAAGGAUUCGUCCUCGAAUCUUUCAACAUUCUUCAUCAGUCGGACUCCGUGCAACCGUCCCAAACGAUCUGCACUCCCACAACUGACUCCUCUGAGGCUCCUAUCUAAUCCAUAUACUCACGUUCCAGACCCUAUUUGCUCAUACUCACCCACUUCCCCCGUCCACAGGUCGCAACCCAUGAAUCAUACCGGCUCGUCCUCAGGCAUCUGUCUUAGACUACGGUAUCCAGGAAGUCUCACCACUCCCCCCCCCUCUCAGGUCCCAACCCUCAAGUCAUACCGGCUCACUAUUAGGCCACCCGCCUUCUAGCUACGGUAUCCGGGAAGUCUCACGGUCGCUCUCGGGUCAUCACCCUCAAGCGUGCACUCGAAUCGUCAUCCGAGGCCAUCACAUCAUAUCCGAGCAAAUAAGUCGAAACGCCCCCGAGCAUAUCUCUCGAUUAGAUAUACCUCCCGUUGUGCACUUAUAGCAUCGCUAUACUAACCACCACCCCCAGACUUUCCAAAAAUAGAACCGUCUAACCCGACACUUUCUAUUUUUAGAAACUCGCACAUAUUUCUCUUACACAUGACACAACAAGUCAAAUCCAAGAAAUACUCACGUAGUCCAAGUACAACAUCACAAUGUCAUACCUACCAAACAAUAUUCCCACCUGGAAUAUCAUCUCUACCAUGACCAUACUUCAAGUCAACUCCCAAACAAUCCCGUCACUCAGAGUAUUACAUAAUAAUCUCCAACUUAACUUCUCGGAAAUCCAUUUCCAACAAAACACCACCGAAGACCCGCGCUCCGGACUACAACCACCAAAACCACAUAACUACUUUGAGCACCACGCUCGCAACCUCUAGCCUCCUACACUGCCACGAGCAGAAACUAGGAAAACAUACGACUAGAGAAAAGACAAAACAUCACAACUUAUCGUGUAAUCUCAUUGAAGGCUCGAGAGGAUGAUCUAGGUCUGCAUGCUCACACAAUUGAUUAAACACACAAAUCAAUCAGCAUGCAAUCCACAUCAUCAUUUUCCAUCAACGAAAUUCACACAUCACAUUAAAAAUAACCAAUUUACUCCCGCCCUAGAACCGUAAGGGCUCUGAUACUAAAUUGAAAAGACCCGACCCGUUUUUUUUUAAUUCAUUAAUUAAUAGUCUUAUACCUAUUAAUUAACAUAACCGAAUUACCCCAACAAUAAAUCAUCAUGCACAGCGGAAACAUAUUAAACCAACAUCAAUUAAUCAUAAUAUUAAUUAAUCAACCAUUCAAUAACCACAAUUUACACUAGCAACCUAGCAUGCCUCUAAAUCAGGUUCCAACAACAAUUAACAUAUUCAUAAACAUAACAACCGAGACCCUAUAUCAUCCUCCUCUCCUCGCCAUGAUUCCACGGAUCACAAUUUACCUGCACCACAAACACAAUGAGAUGCGUGAGUAUAAUCACAAAUACUCAGUGAGAGCGAUCCUCCCAUCUACGAGCUAUACACACAAGCUAUGAGAUAACACACACAUAUAUAACAUAAACAAACCAUUCAGCAAGCUAAACAUCCAAUAACACUUUCAAUUCACCUACAAAUCAUCACAAACAAGUCACUCAAUCCCAAUCGCUUAGAUAAGCUCAUGGUCACGC